CCUACGGGCGGCUGCAGUGGGGAAUAUUGGGCAAUGGGCGCAAGCCUGACCCAGCAACGCCGCGUGAAGGAAGAAGGCUUUCGGGUUGUAAACUUCUUUUAUUGAGGACGAAACACAUGACGGUCCUCCAUGAAUAAGCCACGGCUAACUACGUGCCCGCAGCCGCGGCAAUACGUAGGUGGCAAGCGUUAUCCGGAUUUACUGGGUGUAAAGGGCGUGUAGGCGGGACUGUAAGUCAGAUGUGAAACCCAUGGGCUCAACCCAUGGCCUGCAUUUGAAACUGUAGUUCUUGAGUGAUGGAGAGGCAGGCGGAAUUCCGGGUGUAGCGGUGAAAUGCGUAGAUAUACGGAGGAACACCAGUGGCGAAGGCGGCCUGCUGGACAUUAACUGACGCUGAGGCGCGAAAGCGUGGGGAGCAAACAGGAUUAGAUACCCGAGUAGUC
rnacentral:rRNA from 1 species